UACGGAGGAUCCAAGCGUUAUCCGGAUUUAUUGGGUUUAAAGGGUGCGUAGGCGGAUUAUUAAGUCAGUGGUGAAAUCCUGCAGCUUAACUGCAGAACUGCCAUUGAUACUGAUGAUCUUGAGUACAGUUGAGGUGGGCGGAAUGUGUCAUGUAGCGGUGAAAUGCUUAGAUAUGACACAGAACACCGAUUGCGAAGGCAGCUCGCUAAGCUGUAACUGACGCUGAGGCACGAAAGCGUGGGGAUCAAACAGG
rnacentral:rRNA from 1 species